rnacentral:sRNA from 1 species
UGUGCAAACAAAUUGGACAAGAAGGACUUCUUUGGAAAAUCAGAUCCUUUCCUUGUAUUUUAUCGAAGUAAUGAAGAUGGCAGUUUUACAAUUUGUCACAAGACAGAAGUUGUCAAAAACACUCUAAAUCCAGUAUGGCAAGCAUUUAAGAUCUCAGUCAGAGCAUUAUGUAAUGGAGACUAUGACAGAACAAUCAAAGUAGAGGUGUAUGACUGGGAUCGAGAUGGAAGUCAUGAUUUCAUUGGAGAAUUUACAACAAGCUAUAGGGAACUUUCUAGAGGGCAGUCACAAUUCAACGUAUAUGAGAGUGCUUGUUCCUCAAAUUAUCUGGAAGAAUUGAGGAAUUCUUCAAACCUCAAGAUCAAACAUUACCUCUCUCCUCCAAACAACCUGCUCCAUAGAAUAACCAUUGAACCAUCUGAAAAAUGUGAGAUCUUGCCAGUGAUGCCCAACAUCCUUACUGGUGCAUGUUUUCCUGUAGAAUGUGUUCAGUUAGGGCUUUCUGAAAUACACAAUAAAUAAUACGUGGAAUGAA